UUGAGUGAACAAUUGUUCCAGACUAUAUACUAUCAGCUGCAUAUUCUAAAACAGUACUGUACACGUGACCGUGUAUGACAGAGUACUCUACCACAGCAGAGGAAACGUGGAUCUAGUCCAUAUCUAUCAUCUGCAUAAGUGGAGUCCAACUUGCGGCACAGAAAUGGAGGACCAUGUCAACGGAACCUCUUUUGAAAAUACAGUUACAGUGCACAUGAAUGUAGAUACAGCUGAAAUAACAGGAGAUGUUCAUAGCAGAUCAAGAUCAAGAGGUAGACCAAAGAAACGCUCAGCACCACCAAAAAAGGCACGACGGUUUUUCAGCAGACAGAUGGGCAUGAGGUCAUCCCAGUUUCCCUUGAUUUGCAUGAGGACCAAGCUGAGCAUGAGGGGGAGGAAGAGGUAGAUGAGGAAGAUCUUCAGGAAGGGACAACAUUCACGCCAGAUUCCCAGUCUGAUGAUGAGGAUGAGGAUCUCUCCAGGAGAGACCUUCUUGCUCUCCAGCAAAAGUCAUAGAGACUUUUCAUUGAAAACUUAAGAAACUAGUUGAAUAUGGAAUAACAAACACAAAAACUGAAAUGAG